rnacentral:rRNA from 1 species
AAAAACAUAACUGUAUGCAUUUUUAUACAGCGAUUUCUGCUCAAUGAUAGUAUUAAAUAGCCGCAGUAAUUUGACUGUGCAAAGGUAGCAUAAUCAUUUGACCUAUAAUUGAGGCCUGGUAUGAAGGAACAUAUGGGGGCAUACUAUAUCAUAGACGGGUAUUUAAAUUACUUAUUGGGUGAAAACUCCCAUAGGUAAAUAAUAGACGAGAAGACCCUAGAAAUUUUAAGUAGAUAUUAAGUAUUGUUUUUGUUGGGGCGACAUAGUAGCAAGGAACCUACUAUAAAAUAUACGAUUAUUGUAUUAUGUUAAAUUAAAUUACUCUAGGGAUAACAGCAUAAUAUUUAAAAGUUUGUGACCUCGAUGUUGGACUAGGAAAUAGUAGCCCAGAAGGCUAUCUUUAAUGCUCUGUUCGAGCAAUUUUCUCCUACGUGAUCUGA